CUCAGCUGAUGUCUCUGAAAAUGAUUCUCUGACCAGAAAUGGUUCUGCUCUGGUUCUUCUAGCUUGGCCUGAGCGGUGAACACACGGAUCUCAAACAUCCUGUCAACGUAACUGCAGUGUCACAGCCAUCAGAUGGAAAUGCACCCCAAAGCAGGGAUUAAAGUACCAUGAGCUUAAAAACUCUGCAAGCUAUAAGAUCUGCCCCAAGACACGGAAUGAUGGAAUUACAGUUGAUGUCAAGGAAUGAGUUCCUUUUAUGCCUUAUCAAAACAGAACAAAAAGAAAAAAAAUUCUUGUUACUGGCAGCACAUCUCCACGGAGCACCAUGCUCACAGUCCGGGCUGUACCAUCUCCACGCAGGCUUCUGUGUAGCGCACGUCGUGAGAACUACACGGGGCCCACAUAGAUGCCUUUGGAAUUGUUAAGUCUCAUUCUCGGGAGAGAAAAGCCAAACCGACUCUCAGAAACAUCUGGAAUAUCCAGAGGGUCUACCACUAAGCAAAAGGUCCCCCAAAGAUUCAGAAUCCUGACAAACAUGUUCUUCUUUGUACCCUUGGAAACGGAGAUCAAGCUGGAAUGUGGAAAGGAGAGGAAAUCUUUAACUUUUUUUCCCCCAUGAUAAAAUUGCUAAUGACGGACAUCGCAUUUUGGGUGA
ensembl:lncRNA